CUGACAAGAGCUGGAGUUGAGAAGCAAGGAGCAACAGCAAUGGUGAAAAGGAGCAAACAUGUGCCUUGCCCCUCAAUUUUAUAAGGAAAGCUGAGGCUGUGAAGCAUGAAGCAAUUUGUCCAAUUCACAAAAUUUGAUUUUGAAGCAUGUUUUGAAGAGGUUGCAAAGUGUGGGCUUUCAUUUUGAGGGGAGCACAGUAAUAAUAUUGACACAAUAUGCUUCAAAGAGAUGUAUUGAGGCUCAAACAUUGUGAUCGCUUUGCAGAAAUAUAAAGAAGCAAAAGGAUGUAUGUUCUUAGGGUCACCAAGUUUUUAAGGAACAAGGAGACAACUUGGCACAGGAAGAUAAAUAUUGCAGUGGGGAAAUGUCAGCUUUUUAAAUGAAAACCACUGGAGCUGAAAAAUCUACUCCCUGUGUGAUAGCAGGUGAGAGAGACUGCAUAUCAUGGCAAGCGAAUGGAUGGUUCAAAACAUUCCUCCUAAAAUUGGCAAUGUUUCUAGAAAUCCUAAGGAUUAAGAAAGGUCGGGAGCAAAAGGCAAAUUUUAUCAUCCCUUCAUUUCAGGAAUUCAACUGGGUCUGAUCUCAGACCCAAC